rnacentral:lncRNA from 1 species
CUACAACGCCUGCUGCUGCAGUGCAAAAAUAAACAGUUCAGAACGCCAGUUUGGAACCAGUAUCAGGAAGCAGUUGGAUUUUCUGAUGCAAAGGGGAUUUUUGCUUCUGCCUGAGAACAGCCGAGAUUAUGUCAUAAGAAAGGGGCAGAAGAAGCAUCACCAACUCUAAGGAACCAAAGUCUCUCCAGCCACCAAAAUGAAUGCAGCUGCCACUUAGGGGAAGUGGACAAGGACAGAACCACCCAGAGAUGAUGGUGAGAAAAGGCAGAAGGCCUGGGAGCUGGAAAAUGACUCCAUGGAGUAAAAGAUCACAGCAUCCUUUGGGACAAGACCGAUGUUCAUGACAAGAAUGAAAACUAAUGCUGCAGCAAUGGAGAUUGUGAAAAUACAAAUUUAAAAAUGCAUACCUAAAGGAAAAUCAAGAAAAAAAGGAAAAUUAAGCAUUAAAUGGAACUCUGAGUAGUUACUAAAAGUAAGAAAAGGCAAAACAAAAUACCACCAGACUCUCUCCAUUACUACUUCCAACUACUGUUUCCCUAUUGACACAUAAUCUCUCAUCUGGAGUUCUGUUUGUGUUAUAAUAAUGA